UAUGCCAGGAACUAUACUCUUCCAAACAUGC
rnacentral:piRNA from 1 species